UAGCAGGCCUUCGGGUGCUGACGAGCGGCGGACGGGUGAGUAACGCAUAGGAAUCUGCCUGGUAGUGGGGGAUAGCCCGGGGAAACCCGGAUUAAUACCGCAUACGCCCUACGGGGGAAAGGAUGGGAUCUUCGGACCAUUCGCUAUCAGAUGAGCCUAUGUCGGAUUAGCUAGUUGGUGGGGUAAAGGCCUACCAAGGCGACGAUCCGUAACUGGUCUGAGAGGAUGAUCAGUCACACUGGAACUGAGACACGGUCCAGACUCCUACGGGAGGCAGCAGUGGGGAAUAUUGGACAAUGGGGGCAACCCUGAUCCAGCCAUGCCGCGUGUAUGAAGAAGGCCUUCGGGUUGUAAAGUACUUUCAGUGGUGAGGAAGGGUGUUGUGUUAAUAGCGCAACACAUUGACGUUAGCCACAGAAGAAGCACCGGCAAACUCCGUGCCAGCAGCCGCGGUAAUACGGAGGGUGCGAGCGUUAAUCGGAAUUACUGGGCGUAAAGCGCGCGUAGGCGGUUAUACAAGCGAGAUGUGAAAUUCCCGGGCUUAACCUGGGGACUGCAUUUCGAACUGUAUGGCUAGAGUUUUGGAGAGGAGAGUAGAAUUCCCAGUGUAGCGGUGAAAUGCGUAGAGAUUGGGAGGAAUACCAGUGGCGAAGGCGGCUCUCUGGCCAAAAACUGACGCUGAGGUGCGAAAGCGUGGGGAUCAAACAGGAUUAGA
rnacentral:rRNA from 1 species